rnacentral:tRNA from 1 species
GCCUGGAUAGUUCAGUUGGUACAGCAUCGCAAGGGCGUGGGUUUGAAUCUCAUGUUGGGCA